rnacentral:rRNA from 1 species
AACGGCAGCACGGGAGCUUGCUCCUGGUGGCGAGUGGCGAACGGGUGAGUAAUGCGUCGGAACGUACCGAGUAAUGGGGGAUAACGCAGCGAAAGCUGUGCUAAUACCGCAUACCCCCUGAGGGGGAAAGUGGGGGAUCGCAAGACCUCACGUUAUUCGAGCGGCCGACGUCUGAUUAGCUUGUUGGUGUGGUAAUGGCCCACCAAGGCGACGAUCAGUAGCGGGUCUGAGAGGAUGAUCCNCCACACUGGAACUGAGACACGGUCCAGACUCCUACGGGAGGCAGCAGUGGGGAAUUUUGGACAAUGGGGGCAACCCNGAUCCAGCCAUUCCGCGUGAGUGAAGAAGGCCUUCGGGUUGUAAAGCUCUUUCAGCUGGAAAGAAACGGUAGAGGCUAAUACCCUUUGCUAAUGACGGCACCAGCANAAGAAGCACCGGCUAACUACGUGCCAGCAGCCGCGGUAAUACGUAGGGUGCGAGCGUUAAUCGGAAUUACUGGGCGUAAAGCGUGCGCAGGCGGAUUGUCCACCAAGAUGUGAAAUCCCCGGGCUUAACCUGGGAAUGGCAUUUUGAACUGGCAGUCUAGAGUGCGUCAGAGGGGGGGGGGAAUUCCACGUGUAGCAGUGAAAUGCGUAGAUAUGUGGAGGAACACCAAUGGCGAAGGCAGCCCCCUGGGAUGACACUGACGCUCAUGUACGAAAGCGUGGGUAGCAAACAGGAUUAGAUACCCUGGUAGUCCACGCCCUAAACGAUGUCAACUGGUUGUUGGGGGAGUGAAAUCCCUUAGUAACGAAGCUAACGCGUGAAGUUGACCGCCUGGGGAGUACGGUCGCAAGAUUAAAACUCAAAGGAAUUGACGGGGACCCGCACAAGCGGUGGAUGAUGUGGAUUAAUUCGAUGCAACGCGAAAAACCUUACCUACCCUUGACAUGUCCAGAANCCCUGCAGAGAUGCGGGGGUGCCCGAAAGGGAAUUGGAACACAGGUGCUGCAUGGCUGUCNUCAGCUCGUGUCGUGAGAUGUUGGGUUAAGUCCCGCAACGAGCGCAACCCUUAUCAUUAGUUGCUACGCAAGGGCACUCUAAUGAGACUGCCGGUGACAAACCGGAGGAAGGUGGGGAUGACGUCAAGUCCUCAUGGCCCUUAUGGGUAGGGCUUCACACGUCAUACAAUGGUCGGUACAGAGGGUUGCCAAGCCGCGAGGUGGAGCCAAUCCCAGAAAGCCGAUCGUAGUCCGGAUUGUUCUCUGCAACUCGAGAGCAUGAAGUCGGAAUCGCUAGUAAUCGCGGAUCAGCAUGUCGCGGUGAAUACGUUCCCGGGUCUUGUACACACCGCCCGUCACACCAUGGGAGUGGAAUCUGCCAGAAGUAGGUAGCC